rnacentral:rRNA from 1 species
AUUGAACGCUGGCGGCAGGCCUAACACAUGCAGGUCGAGCGGAUGAAGGGAGCUUGCUCCUGGAUUCAGCGGCGGACGGGUGAGUAAUGCCUAGGAAUCUGCCUGGUAGUGGGGGAUAACGUCCGGAAACGGGCGCUAAUACCGCAUACGUCCUGAGGGAGAAAGUGGGGGAUCUUCGGACCUCACGCUAUCAGAUGAGCCUAGGUCGGAUUAGCUAGUUGGUGGGGUAAAGGCCUACCAAGGCGACGAUCCGUAACUGGUCUGAGAGGAUGAUCAGUCACACUGAAACUGAGACACGGUCCAGACUCCUACGGGAGGCAGCAGUGGGGAAUAUUGGACAAUGGGCGAAAGCCUGAUCCAGCCAUGCCGCGUGUGUGAAGAAGGUCUUCGGAUUGUAAAGCACUUUAAGUUGGGAGGAAGGGCAGUAAGUUAAUACCUUGCUGUUUUGACGUUACCAACAGAAUAAGCACCGGCUAACUUCGUG